rnacentral:rRNA from 1 species
UACGUUGGGUGCAAGCGUUAAUCGGAAUUACUGGGCGUAAAGCGUGCGCAGGCGGUUCGCUAAGACAGAUGUGAAAUCCCCGGGCUUAACCUGGGAACUGCAUUUGUGACUGGCGGGCUAGAGUAUGGCAGAGGGGGGUAGAAUUCCACGUGUAGCAGUGAAAUGCGUAGAGAUGUGGAGGAAUACCGAUGGCGAAGGCAGCCCCCUGGGCCAAUACUGACGCUCAUGCACGAAAGCGUGGGGAGCAAACAGG